GACACACAGAAAAGACAGACGGACGUGUUCACAGCUUUAUUAGAAGAUCCACAGUUAUACACACAACCGGUAAUAGAGGCUGGCUGGCAAACAGGAGACAGAUGCAAUCUCCUUAAGGACAUACAAGAGAAAAGGUACCAUCUCCUUAAAGACAUACAACAGAAAAGGUGCCAUCUCCUUAAACACAUACAUGUCAUGAGACAAGGUUUGAAGACAAGGUACUAUCUUCUUAAAGACAAUAUACCAUCUCCUUAAAGACAUGGCACCAUCUCCUUAAAGACAAGGUACCAGCUCCUUAACGACAGGGUACCAGCUCCUUAAAGACGUGGUACCAGCUCCUUAAAGACAUGGUACCAGCUCCUUAAAGACAUGGUACCAGCUCCUUAAAGACACGGUGCCAACUCCUUAAAGACAUGGUACCAGCUCCUUAAAGACAUGGUACCAGCUCCUUAAAGACAUGGUACCAGCUCCUUAAAGACAUGGUACCAGCUCCUUAAAGACAUGGUGCCAGCUCCUUAAAGACAUGGUACCAGUUCUUGCAAGAAGUCUCCGUCCACCCCUGACCUGUGGCAUCGCGUGUAGAAGCGUCUUGAGUGACGCCACAAGUCAGAAGAUGACUUUAAGACUUUGUUUAAGACUUAAGAUGGCCACUACGAUGACACGAUGAUAUCUACAGUAAGAUUAUCUGGAGGAGAGAUGAGAAAGUAGGAUCAGGUCCUCAGCAGAAGUGAAGGGGCGGAGACGCGUUAAUCUUUACAUGUAGAGAUGACAGGUUUUUACUGGCGCAGCCUCUUAUUAUAAUGUACAGGAAAGUAGAGAAAUAGUUUUUAAUAGUGUCUAAAUACUUACAUCGAGCGUCGGGUGCGAAUCGCAGCUACACGUAAUGUUUCUGGCUUGUCAAACAUCUGGUGUAAAAGAACCCAGUUCACAGCCGACUCCCUACCUAACAUGCAAAUGGGAUAAGUAAGCACUAGCGGACACACUGCUAAUAUGCCAACUCGGUUGGCGAAAAGUCACAACAAUCUUGUCCACAAAAUCAUCCACGUUAGAAACACAGUUACAUAUUCCAUAUGUGCCAGAAGAGGUACACACCAACCUGCUCCGACACAUCAGUUUUACACGCCAUUUGCCAAGUUCCUCUGUAGAGCAUCUAAAUCAGACAACUUGUGUACAUAUUGAACCCUUCUGUUCAGUUUUACCAGAUCCUGUUCAUCAGUUUUCCGUGGCGACAAACCUAAUCCGCUAGGCAAAACCACAGCCGUCACAAGUUUGCUGCUUUGUUGUUCAAACGUGUCUGAGGUAAAGUAACAAUUAGAACAAACCCUGUAGAUUUCUGGAAGAGCAUGAUUUUGUCACUUUGAUGACAUCAAGCAGUUGCAAGUACAUGUAGUAAAGUCACAGUUACUGCAGUAACCUUUAUCAGACCAAUUUGUACAUUUUGCAUGAGUCCAGAGAGCGUACUACUGUACAUUCUGACUCUGAGCGAUUUGGUUCUCCCGGAAGACUAUUUGUACAGCAAAUACAACCCUGUCGGCAGCCACACAUCCUGGCACAGUCUACAGCAGUUAACUUUCUAUCUGACACUGCAUCUUUCAAUAUCAAACUUAGACUAUGGCAAAGUACAGAAAUGGCAGGAGUAGUUAAUAUAAUCUGGCACGGUAGUGAUUGGCACAAAACCAUGGAAAGAUUCUGCAUGCAGCAGGAGUUAGCGGCUUGUCGUUUUGGCAGCAAACCAAACUGAACACAUCUAUUUUAUGUUACUUACAUGAAAACAAUGAAGGUUUUCUAAAACUGAAAAAAUAUAUACCAUAGCAAACUGUGGUACACAUCAACAAACAAGUACCAGGUACUGGGGAUGAUGUUAGUGUGAAUGGUACAUGUACCAGGUACUGGGGCUAUGCUGAUGUUAGUGUGAAUGGUGCAGGUACCAGGUACUGGGGUUAUGGUUAGUGUGAAUGGUGCAGGUACCAGGUACUGGGGCUGUGGUUAGUGUGAAUGGUGCAGGUACCAGGUACUGGGGCUAUGCUGAUGUUAGUGUGAAUGGUGCAGGUACCAGGUACUGGGGCUAUGCUAGUUAGUGUGAAUGGUGCAGGUACCAGGUACUGGGGCUGAUGUUAGUGUGAAUGGUGCAGGUACCAGGUACUGGGGCUAUGGUUAGUGUGAAUGGUGCAGGAUACCAGGUACUGGAGCUAUGCUGAUGUUAGUGUGAAUGGUACAGGUACCAGGUACUGGGGCUAUGCUGAUGUUAGUGUGAAUGGUACAGGUACCAGGUACUGGGGCUAUGGUUAGUGUGAAUGGUGCAGGUACCAGGUACUGGGGCUAUGCUGAUGUUAGUGUGAAUGGUACAGGUACCAGGUACUGGGGCUAUGCUGAUGUUAGUGUGAAUGGUGCAGGUACCAGGUACUGGGGCUAUGCUGAUGUUAGUGUGAAUGUCCAGGUUGAAUGGAGGAUUAGUAGCAG